CAUCUUCCGCACUCCGUUGCUCCCGAUCUCAUCUCUCUGCUCGCUCCAAUUUUUUUCUCUGAAUCCCCCCUCCUCGUCCGCCGCUGCGGUCGCGGUCCUGGCCGUCAGUGGUAGGAGCCAGUCUCAUCGAGAAAUUCUUCACUCCUCCCUCUUAUCUGCACAAAUCUUGAUCGCGUGCGUCCAUGGGCGAGCUUGGCCGCGGCACAGAAGGAGAGUUCGUAAGCAGCUGUCGUUGGUGUGCGCGUGCGUCCAUGGGCGAGCUUGCCUGCUUUGCCAGGGGUGGUCGUACUACAGUCUGCCAACGUACGCCGGCGACGUACUGGGCCUAGGCGUGGUGUGCAAGUGCAGGUCGAUUUUGGUCGUCCCGUACGACUUUGCCAUGGCGGAUCCGCUGGCCGCCGGGAACGCCACCGACGGGGACGCCGUGAGGGCGGGUUUCUCGGUGCGACGGAAGUCUGACGCCGGCUGGUGCAGCGAGUGGAGGCCUCCAGAGGCUUCUGCUCCGACGCUAAGGCUAGCGGGUCAUGUCCUACUCUUUCGUCAGGUUCAGGCGGGACAAGCGCGAGCGGCCGUGGGACAUGGACUCAAGCCAACACAGGUUCAUGGCGGAGCAGCUCACCUGCUGGUCUCCACUUCGUAGUCGGCAGCAGCUGCCUCACCAAUUGAUGUAGAUCCAUUUUUUACACACAGACCUCAAUAAAAGUUGGGGAUCAAGAAAUUGAUCGCUUCGAAGUACUGAGCAUGCCUAUUCUUUCUUAUGCAUGAGGGUAUGAAACAUGUUUUUGUUGUCAAUUCUUGCAGCACAGGGGAUUUUUGGUGGUCAAGUGGUCAACCCAUCAGCCAAUGCCGUCAAGAUCUUCAUUGGGUGUGCUUGUGCUUUUUUUGGAAGAUGCCAGGCAAUAGCGCUGCUUCAGUAUAUUAAGGGAAGAUUUACAAAAUCUGAACAUGUAUAAUUACACUCAAUCUAUGCAUGUUUGCCCAGAUUUGAAUAACUUUGAGUUUGUGACCAUCGCACUUGGUAUAUUUUUUAAUGUAUUUUUUUGUUUUGCUAGGUCAAGUAGUUCCUGUGAAAUGACUUUGGGAAUGGGGUGGUUCACCGGGAUAAUUAGUGGUAGCACCUCAUGCUGACAGGGAGUGCACGAUCGAGGUAUGUAUUUUCAGCUUGUUAGUCAGGAUGAAGUGGAAUACAUCAUAAUAUUUCUCUGCAUGAACUGUCAGGGACAUAUCACCACAUCCACUUAAUCGAGUUUAUCCAUGUUCAGUUCCUUAGAUUGCCUACCUGUGUUCGGAUUUACCAUGUGUUAUUUGACUGGAAAAAUUGCAUUGUUAAUCGCUUCAGUGAACAAGCGAAAAUGUAGGUUGUAUCCCUCUUUAGUUUGUUAACAAUCUGUUCACGGAGUCACUACUCCAUCAUCACAUAAGACACAUAUGUUAAGGUCAAGAAUUUGUCAUCUAUACUUCUGAUCCCUUUUUAGUUAUGCUAAACUUGAGAAAGUGAAUUAUAGGAACAAGUGAAUAAAUUGUCAGCCUAUUAUAUGUGGGAAGAGGCCUUUUGGAACAAGUGAAUUAUUUGAAAAUUAAAAUCUUCAACUUUGUUAAAAAUGAAGUUAUUCUCAAACUACAAUUCUAUGCAAGCACUGAUCUUUAAAUUGAAGGUGAUUAUUCUUUUUAAGAAGGGAGAACGAUUCACUUUGGUGUACAUGAUCCUAUGGUCAUUUUUAUUGAUUGCUAUGGCUGUUUCUAUUUCUCUACUAUUAAAGGAGAAUCGGAUGUCCCACGCACUUCCCUCAUCGAUUUUUUAUCCCUCCAAAAACCAGUGGCAAGUAACCCGGUUCAAUCAACCCCUCCCCACCUCGUACGGUUCCGCACGACUGAAAAAUUCCACGCACGAACAAAAUCGCCUGAAAAAGCCCACGUUCAUAACCAUCGCCUGAAAACGAUCCCACAUCCUCCACCCCUCUCCCAAACCCAAACUACCCCGGCGUCCUCCUCCCCCACCGCAGUGAAGGGUUCGUCGCCCCGUCCGCCCCUCCUCCAGAUGCAGUAGUCGUAGCUAGACCGGCGUCAUACAAUCCCACCCCCAGCAGCCGCCGGGGUGGGGCGCGAUCCCGCCGCCCCUGUAGCCGAACCAGCAAACGCAGCCCCUGCCGAAGAUGUGCGGGCCAGCCGCUGCCACCCAGUCAACCGCGCAUGGGCAGGCGUGUGGCGGCAGCCCCAGCACAGCAGCCUGGCCUGGAUAUCCCCAGUGAUGCCUCCUGUCCCCAAUUCUAGGAGAGACAGUGGAGCGCGGUGCUGCUACGGACGAAGGAGAUUCUAGAUCGGCAGGUUGCGAGCAGAAGCCAUAGACACCAAAAAGAUGCUAUGACAAGUGCACCAGAAAGUUCUGUCGAUUGAUAUCCCCCCCUCUAUUCCUCUCUGGAUUUUGGUCUCUUGGUUUUUUUUUAAUCUAUUCUAGCUGGUGUUCUUACGGAAGGAAGACAAACGAGAGCAAAAAUAUGAUAGCCAGAAGCACGCUGGUGAGGAGCCCUUGUUUUUCGGUGCUAAUCCCUCAUGUUCAUCUUGAAUAAUACAGUUUUCUUGCCAUGUUUCUUUCAGCUGCCUUAAGAUAAUUGAUGUUGGUUAUUUUGUUCCAUGAACCUGCUCUUGAAUUGUAUAUAUUCUGCAGGAGUACUAUGGUUUUGCUAUCCACAAAGUAUUGUUAUUUUUCUAUACCUGAAGUCCUAA